rnacentral:rRNA from 1 species
UACGUAGGUGGCAAGCGUUAUCCGGAAUUAUUGGGCGUAAAGCGCGCGCAGGCGGUUUCUUAAGUCUGAUGUGAAAGCCCACGGCUCAACCGUGGAGGGUCAUUGGAAACUGGGGAACUUGAGUGCAGAAGAGAAAAGCGGAAUUCCACGUGUAGCGGUGAAAUGCGUAGAGAUCUGGAGGAACACCAGUGGCGAAGGCGGACUACCUGGCCUGUUCUUGACGCUGAGGCGCGAAAGCUAGGGGAGCAAACGGG